UACGUAGGGUGCGAGCGUUAAUCGGAAUUACUGGGCGUAAAGCGCGCGCAGGCGGUUUUGUAAGCCAGGGGUGAAAUCCCCGGGCUCAACCUGGGAAUGGCAUUUGGGACUGCAAGGCUGGAGUGCGGCAGAGGAGACUGGAAUUCCUGGUGUAGCAGUGAAAUGCGUAGAUAUCAGGAGGAACACCGAUGGCGAAGGCAGGUCUCUGGGCUGACACUGACGCUCAUGCACGAAAGCGUGGGGAGCAAACAGG
rnacentral:rRNA from 1 species